rnacentral:rRNA from 1 species
UUUUUGGAGAGUUUGAUCCUGGCUCAGGACGAACGCUGGCGGCGUGCCUAAUACAUGCAAGUCGAGCGGACUUUU